rnacentral:misc_RNA from 1 species
GAUGAAGAACGUAGCGAAAUGCGAUAAGUAAUGUGAAUUGCAGAAUUCAGUGAAUCAUCGAAUCUUUGAACGCACAUUGCGCCCGCGAGUAUUCUGGCGGGCAUGCCUGUUCGAGCGUCAUUACAACCCUCAGGCCCCCGGGCCUGGCGUUGGGGAUCGGCGGAGCCCCCCGUGGGCACACGCCGUCCCCCAAAUGCAGUGGCGGUCCCGCCGCAGCUUCCAUCGCGUAGUAGCUAACACCUCGCGACUGGAGAGCGGCGCGGCCACGCCGUAAAACACCCAACUCUUCUGAAGUUGACCUCGAAUCAGGUAGGAAUACCCGCUGAACUUAAGCAUAUCAAUAAGCGGAGGA